GGGGAAUUUUCCGCAAUGGGCGAAAGCCUGACGGAGCAAGACCGCGUGGGGGAUGAAGGUUUGUGGAUUGUAAACCCCUUUUGAUUGGGAAGAAUACUGACGGUACCAAUCGAAUAAGCCUCGGCUAACUCCGUGCCAGCAGCCGCGGUAAUACGGAGGAUGCAAGCGUUAUCCGGAAUGAUUGGGCGUAAAGCGUCCGCAGGUGGUUUAUCAAGUCUGCUGUCAAAGAGUUUGGCUCAACCAAAUAAAGGCAGUGGAAACUGACAGACUGGAGUGCGGUAAGGGCAGAGGGAAUUCCUGGUGUAGCGGUGAAAUGCGUAGAGAUCAGGAAGAACACCGGUGGCGAAAGCGCUCUGCUGGGCCGUAACUGACACUGAGGGACGAAAGCUAGGGGAGCGAAUGGGAUUAGAUACCCCAGNUAGUC
rnacentral:rRNA from 1 species